AAAUGUAUAACGAUUCUUAUAUAAAAAGCCACCACCCCAAGCCAAAAGAAAAAAAAAAUUGUGCUGAAUACAACAAUAUAAUUUCUUCAGUUUUUACUUGGAAACAAGAGAGAUGAAUAUGAAGAAGCAGAAGCCAAAAGCUAUUGUAGUUGGAGGAAGCAUUGCUGGGGAAUCAUGCGCAAAAGCACUUAUUUCAGCAGGCUGGGAUGUUGUUGUGAUUGAGAAAACUCGUGGACCCCCAACCCAAAGCCCAACCGGUGCUGGCCUUGGACUCGAUCCAUUGGCUCAGAAAAUUGUUCAGUCAUGGCUCCAUGAACCUGAACUUCUUUACAACAACACUUUACCUAUCACCAUUACUGAGGUAUAUAAUAUAAUAUAUUUAAUUUCUUUUUUCCCAGUAGAAUCCAGUAGUGCUUUGAAUUAUACUGAUCUCUUAAAGAUAUUAGUUGCACACGUGUAUAUACAAUGGUGUCUGGUUAAGAUUUGAUAAAAGUAUAUUUUGCUCUGCACAAAGUACAAUUUAGAAUGGAAUCUCAUUGGGAAAAAAAUAUCUGUAUAUGUUGAAUAGAUAAAAUUUCAAUUUGUGUUUAAUUGCAGAACCUAGCAACAGAGGGGGAAAAGAAGAUCAGCUGGGUAAUAGGAAGAGAAGAAGGCGGUAAGUAUCUGACAGCAUAUUGGGCUGAUCUUCAUGGCCUGAUAUACAAUACUCUGCCACCUGAAAUAUUUUUAUGGGGUCACCAGUACCUCUCUUUCUGUAUUUCUGAAGACAAAUUAACUAUCAAAGUUAGAGCUAAGGAUCUUGAGACUGAUGAAAUAAUCGAGAUAGUAGGAGAUUUGCUCGUCGGAGCAGAUGGUAUCCUCUCAUCAAUUGGUCACAGCAUUCUACCGAACUUCAAAUUGAGGUUUGUGCUUGCUUGUGAAUAUCAAUAAAAGUAAUUAAUUUUUGAGAAUUUUGUUUCAUAAAUUUCAAUGUGUUUUUAAUAGGUACACAGGAUACUGUGCGUGGAGAGGUGUUUUUAAUUUUUCAGAAAACGAUUCAGAAACCAUCUUAGGCAUUCGAAAAUCGUAUCCUGAUAUUGGGAAAUGCUUUUACACGAAUAUUGGUUCAGGAUCUCACAUCAUACUCACUGAGCUUAAGAAAGAGAAGUUCAAUUGGGUUUGGUAUGUCAAUCAACCUCAGCCCGAGCUCAAGGUAACUGCUUACUUUUGUUUCAUCUUUCUAUUUUGGUUUCGGGGUUUGAGUUGAGUGCUAAAAUCUAAUUUUUGCAAACGAUCAACACAGCUCAGACCAUCACUGGAUCCAUUUUUUUUUUUUAAUUUUAAUUUUCCGGUUUAUCAAUGCAGUAUGACGUGACAUUGGGAAACAAAUUAUUUUAUUCUCUGCAGGGAAAUACAACUUCUGUGAAAGUAAGCAGUGACAUGAUCGAGGAGUUGCACCAAAGAGCAGAGCAGGUUUGGUUACCUGAAUUGUCAAGAAUGAUCAAAGAAACAAAGGAUCCUUUCCUUAAUGCUAUCUAUGAUUGCGAUCCUUUGGAGAAAAUCAUCUGGGACAGAGUGGUGCUAACAGGAGAUGCAGCUCACCCGACAACUCCACACUCUGCCAGAAGCACAAACAUGGCGAUAAUAGAUGCAGCAGUGUUAGGAAAAUGCCUCGAGAAGUGGGGGCCGGAUCAUUUAUACUCUGCUCUGGAAGAAUAUCAAUCCAUUAGGAAGCCUGUAACUUCAGCACAAGUUCUACAUUCGCGACGAUUGGGUCAAAUGAAACAGGGGUUAAGUAUUCCUGGAAGGGAGCGGCCUUUUGAUCCAAAGACAGCAAGUCUAGAGGACUCGGAAUUCAUCCUUAACAAAAAUGUGCCUCUCGUCGACGUUGUUCCUCCGAUUCUUGAUUCAAUUUUUCGUUCUGCUUGAUAAUUUUCAAGGGAGAAAGUAACAUUUUCAUUUUUAUGCAACAAAGUCAUCUAGAGACAAACCUUCUCUUGUGUUCUCACAGCUUUGGGGAAACUUCAAAGGACACGGCUUGGUCUGUUCAUUAUGCUAACUAUAGCUGCCUAUAAAUAAGAGGGUUGACCUCAAUUGUGUGAGUAAAAGAACUGCUAUACUUAUGUUCCUUCCUGUAAUAACGAAAGCCUCUUACUUAAUUCAGUGUCUCUACUUCUUCAGCAAAAUAAAAAUAAAUUCUUGAUCGAAUACACCCAACUUUUCCAAUUUUCUUAUAAAAAUGACACCACGAUAGGAUGGGAUUGUCCUUGUGUUGUGUCAUUGAUCUAUCCAUAUUUGUUUUUCCCAAAAACAAUUUCCAUGAAGGAGGAUGUUUUGCUGCUUGUUAGUGCACGCUAUUUAAGCACAAGACAUGAUUGAGAUUUAUGCAAGGUAUGUGGUAGAAUUUAUGUAAGACGACCGAUGAAGCUAAACAUGAGAGUUAGUAACUUUUACUAUGGUGAUCAACGCGUUGAAGAAAAAUUUUAGAAUUUUUAUUAUAAGUGGUGCAUACAAAAGUUGGUGAGUCGAACUUGUACUCAAAUACUAGCUCAUGUAUUAGGAGUUGUCUUAGGCUUACGUUAUUAGUCUAGUAACUAAUAUUAGCGAUAUGAAAUAUUUUUUCUAUCAUCUUCCAUCACAUGUGUGUAGGUCAAUCUUUUUGUUUGGUCCUUGUCUAGUGAUAAGAUAGUGUGAGUGAUUUUGAGAAAAAAUAUGAAAAACACAAACAAUGAAAAUUCCCUUUUACUUAAACUAAGACAGAGAUUUUUUUACACUGAAGUUGGUAGAAGACACUCGAAUGCGCAGGAGUGAAAUCUUGACAAAUUAAAGCGAGAACUAAGCCAUGCUAGUCCUUUCUCGCGCAUUUAGUUGACAUUAUUUUGCUUUGCAAAUAAAUGCGGGCAUGGUUGAAGGCAUUUUAUCUUUCCGGAAGUGGAUGGAGAAAUAAAGAUAAUUAAAAGGGAUGCGAAUAAUAAAUGCCAGUUUUUCUUAAUAACGAAGAAUAUAUUAGAAAUAAAUUGAAAUGUAACAAAAUACUUGAAAUAAUUCAAGUGAUGGGUUUUUUCUCUGUCAAUAACGCGCGAUAGUUCCUUGUCAUGAGCUUCUUAUCUUCUGUCUUGAAGGAAGAAAUUGCGAAAGACGAAUAAAACGAUUUCCUUUACACAUUCAAUCAAUGCUGCUGCCUUUAUAUCUUUAUUAUUCUCGGAGGGAUGAUACUGUUGAGAGCCGAAACCAUUACCCAUACUCACUCCUCUAAUAGCCAUGUCUAACUCUCUACAAUAAUUUUGAUAUUGCUGUUCUUCAGUUCUUCCACUACUCAACAAAUGUCAUAACGUUAUCUAUUUGUUAUAUGACUGACAUGAUAUUUCAGUUCUUCCUUUACACAUUCAACCAAUGCAUGCACACCACUGGUAUGGAGAUUUUUCAAAAAUAAAUACACACAUGUCAUAACGUUAUCUAUUUGUUAUAUGACUGACAUAAUCAUAACGUUAUCUAUUUGUUAUAUGACUGACAUGAUAUUUUUUAUGUAUUCUAAAAUUUUUCAGAGUGGAGACCAUGAGUGGUAACAUCCACGUGACAAAAGAGUAUUACAAAGAGAUAGUCUCUUGUCAAUUUGAAUAUUUAUUGUAUUGAAACUACUAAGUAUAUAAGCUCGGACAACCCUAAUUUCAUGAUGAGGGGUUAAAGACAAUACUAUUCUAAAAGAAAAUGGAACGAAAUCGUCCAUCCAUAGCCAUUAUUUGACUUUUAGAUUUGCCCUUCUAAAUUUUAACAAAAUGCGCAGACAAUUUUUAAUUUAUUCAAGCGAACGAAGUACAACAAAAUUAUUAAACCAAUCAGAACCAAGAUGGAAAUGAUCAUAAGCAAAAGUAAUUUGCAAGGACGAAUGGAAGCAGAUAAAUUAUUCUAAUUAAGAGAUUAAGUGCAAGUGAAAUAACUGUAGCACUGAUUAUUCGAGUGUGGAGGGAACGUCGUCGAAGAAGGGUAAACUUCUCUGUUUCAGGAUUUCACAAUCCUCAGGACUUGCUGUGUUUGGAUCAAAAGGCUCACGAUCAGGGGUAGGUAAGCCAAGUUUUAUUUGACCCACUCGCCGCGAAUGCAGGACUUGCUUGGUAGUGACAGGUAGCCUAACAGAUUGAUGUUCUUCCAGAGCUGAAUAUAAAUUUUCUGGCCCCCACCUCUCAAGGCAUUUACCUAAAACUGCUGCAUCAGCUAUGGCCAUGUUUGUGCUUCUUGCACAGUGAGGGGUUAUGGGAUGAGCCGCAUCUCCAAUUAAGACCACAUUGUCCCAGUAUAUUUGUGUCAAAGGGUCACAAUCAUAUAUAAGGUUAAGGAAAGGCUCCUUUGUUUCUUUUAUUACUCUUGCAAACUCAGGAACCCAAAUCUUCUCUGCUUCUUGGUGCAUCUUCUUGAUCAUGUCACUGCUCACUUUCAUUGUAGCUGAAUCUCCCUGAAAUUACUUAAUUAAUUUAUUAAAGCUAGCUCUGCUAACACGUAUGUAUAUAAAUGAUAAAAUGAAGCAAGUUAGGCAAUCACCUUGAGUUGAGGCUCAGGUUGAGAGAUAAACCAAAUCCAAUUGAGCCUCUUGUACAUAAGCUCAUCAAGGACGGUGUAAGUUCCAGAGGCCAAGUCCAUGUGCACGCCAUUCCCAAGCGUAGGAUAUGCCUUCCGGAUGCCUUGUAUGGUUUCUGAAUUAUCAUUUUCCGAAAAAUCAAAAACCCCCCUCCAAGCACAGUAACCUGUAUACCUGCAAAACAGAAAUGAAAAAUAAACCGUAAAUUUCAAGACAACAGAAAAUAUGAAAACAUAAUAUAAUUUGUUCAGAAACCUGAGUUUAGAGUCUGGUAAAAAAGUCUGGCGAACUGAUGAGCGGCUCCCGUCAGCCGCAACCAGCAAAUCUCCAGCUAUGUCGAUGACCUCAUCAGUUUUAAGAUUCUUAGCUUUGACAUUGACAGUUGAUUUGUCGUGAGAAAUGCAGAAAGUGAGGUACAAGUGACCCCAAAAAAAUAUUUCCGGAGGCAGAGUAUUGUAUAUAAGACUAUGAAGAUCUGUCCAAUGUGCCUGUAAAUAGUUGAAAUUUUCAUCUCUAGCUAGUAUCCGACAGAUGUUCUUUUCCUGAUCUACUGCCCGAUUCUGCACAGAAAGAAAAAUUAAAAAAAUCAGCACAACUUGUGGGAACAUCAGUUGAAAUUAAAGCAGUUCUGUGUAGACACAUACAUUACCUGAUCAAUGGUGAGAGGUAAGGUGAUGUUGUGAAGAAGAUCAGGUUGAUGGAGCCAUGACUUAACUAUUUUCUGGGACAAUGGAUGAAGUGCGAUUCCAGCGCCGGUUGGGUUUCCGGUUGGAGGUCCACGUGUCUUCUCUAUCACCACCACAUCCCAACCUGCUAAAAUAAGCGCUUUUGCGCAUGAUAUCCCUGCUAUGCUUCCCCCAACUAUUAUAGCUUUUGGCUUCCGCAUCCUCUCACUCAUGUCUCUCUCUUCCUCUCAAACACCAGUAUGUGUGACACAAAGGGACGCUUGCGCAAAGAUAUAUUUAUAUACAGGGGAAAACUUCCCAUUCUGAAUUCAUAAAUCAGGAUGAGCCGGCAAUCAUAUGAACAUUUUUUUAAAAUAAAUUUUUUUAAAAAUUUUUAUACUAUUGUUAAUUUGACUCGGAUUUUAAUAAAAUUUAACAUCUCGAACCAAGUCACUACUCUAGAAAUUUUUUUCAAUUUGAACUUAUAUAUUCGAAUUCAAGAACAAGGUUUAAUAAUGUAAUGACCGUGAAAACUAUUACACCAUAUGGUUUAACAAUGUAAUGAUAUUAUACUAUAAAAUCAUUUAAUAGCUUUUUGAAUUUUAAUAAUAUUUAGGAUUCUAAACUAGAUCAGUACUAUAUACACACACAUACACAGGCGAUGCCAGGAAUUAUUUUUAACAGGCUCUAAGUUUAAAUAGUAAUUUAUUUUAAAAAAAUAAUUAACAAAUAACAUAUAUAAAAAGAAAAUUUAUUAAAAUAUUUAAUUCAAUACACUUAUAAUUGUUCUUGCCUUGGUUUUAUAUGUUAAAAACAUUAAAGAAUAAUCUCAUUAUCAAGACUACAAAAUAUGUCUUCUUCUAUGUAUAUAACAAAUCUAUCAUUCAACUAUUGUUCUCCCAUUUGAUUUCACAGAUGAUUUUUUAUAAAAUUUAUAGUUGAAAAUAUCCUUUCUACUGUAUCUCUAGUAACUGGUAAAAUUAAUGCUAAUGUCACCAAUAAAUAAACUAAUGAAUAUAAUUUACUUUUCUUAGUCUCACCGCAUUGUUAUUUUAUUAUUUAUUUGAAAUCUGAUAAUAAAUUAUGAUUAAAUAUGUUCGCAGCAAUUACAAAGUCUUGAUACAAUGUUUCUAUCUCACAUGAUGACGUAACAUCAAUAUCGAUGAUCGCUAAUUAGGGAUUCCAUUAUCCUAUUUUCCCUCUCACAUGAUGAAUAAAUAAACAGUUUUAAAAUCUCGCGUCACCCAAUGUCUAGAAUGUACCCGGAGGCCGCAGCCUCAAAAGUAGUUAAAUUAAAUUCAAACUCUACAAACUCAAUAACAUGAUUACGUCUUAUUCUUUCUUAAUUGAAGUUGAUUUUUCAAGGAGGCAAUUUGUCCCGUCAUAUGCAGCCAAGUUAGAACGAAAAAAAAUGCUUAAUUCAAAUCUCAAGGUCUUGAAGAAAUCUUUCUAGUCAAAAUAAAUUCUCAUGUCAGAUUUUUCAAUCUGGCGAUAUGAAAUUUGCCUAAUAAAUCUCUAUAUUCAGACAUCACGUUUAUGAAACCCUUGCAUUCAGAAUAAAUUCUUCCGGUAUAUCAAAAAAAAAAAAAAAUUCUUGCGGGUAAGGAGGAUCAAAUGCAAGAAUAAAGUUUGAUAAAAAUGAAUAAAAGGAAUAAGGUAAAAGGAUGAAUAAUUUUGGUAAAAUUAAGUACCAAAAAUAAGAUUUAGCAUAUGUUUGUUGUGGUUUAUUUAAUAACUAAAAGUUUUUACAAGUUUUUUUCAAAAUUUUUACUGUUGUUUGGUAGUAUUUUGGAUAGAGAGCUUUUGAGAAUUAAAUAAGUUAUUUUGCAUCUACCAAUAAAAGUGCAAAUUAAAUAAGUUAUUUUGGGAACAAAAGUUGUAGAGCAUUUUUCAAGUGUUAAAUUAUCUAACAUACCUUUUAUUUAUUUUACAUUUUUAUUCCAUUCUUUUCAUAAUAUGAUUUUAAAUAAAUUGGUCAAUUAAAGUAAUUUUAUAAUUUAAAUUUUUUAAUAAAAGUUCAUAUUGACAACCAAAUAAUCAAAAUAUUUUGGUAAAUCUCCACUUGUAACAACUUAAUUUUAUUAAAAGCUCUAUCUGAAUUAACUUAAUUGAAAAGUUGUACCAUAUAGAGCAUAGAGUCAGUGACGAUGCGGAAAUAUAAUAAGUUGAUUGAUAGAAGAAAUUAGGUUUCUAAAUAAUAAAAGUUUUGUUAGAAAAGUUUAAAUGAACAAAACUAGUGUUUUGAGCUCCUAUUAUAAUAAUCCUAAAUAUCACAAAUUUAUCAUAAUAAAAAAAUCUAAAAUAUUAUUUUAUAAUAAAAUCUCAUAAUCUAAAUAAAGAAACCAAAAUAAGCAGCACCCAAAGCCAAUAUCUAAAAAAAAAGAUAAAAUCAUAAAAUCAAUAGAAAAAAAGAAAAAUAACCUAAUGCUGAAAAAUGAUCAGGAAAUAAGUAAAACUUUUAGAUCGACCACGAGGCAGAACUAUGCAAGCUAUUAUGUUUGGUUUGUCUCGUUGCAGGCUUCGAAACGGUAUAUUAUAUACCUAAAAUGGAUCCCUGUAAUCUUAGUUAUGACCUCUAGAAAAUAAUCUGCUCAUCUUACGCAACGAUCCUACAUUAGCUAGCCCAGCUUGGGAUUGUGAUGACUAUUGAAAAUGUGAUUAAAAAGUUAAAAUGAUGGGUGGCUGAGCCACCGUCUUUGAAUUCAAAGACGGUGGAUGGCUGAGCCAACCACCAUUAUUGAACAAGGAAAAUGGGUGGGUGCUACCCAUGCAAAUAAGAAAAGGACCGUGGUUUUUCUCCGUAUUUGGAGUUUUCCACGUAAAUCUUGUGUUGUGUGAUUGGUGUAUUCUCCAUUUAAUUUUUCUGUUAAUUUGUUGCUUGACAAAUUGCUUGAAGUGAUCUUGAGAGAAAACUCAAUUUCCUAACAAUGGUAUUAGAGCCAACGGUUCGUACUUUGGGUUAUACGGUAUUGUUCACGUAUACAGUACUGUUUACGUGAAGCAGUGAGGCCAAUCCAAAUAGUUUGUGGUGAAGAUCAAAGACUGAUCUAUAAAGCAAAUAUGUCAGCAGCUGGUGUUUUUCAAACUUGGUGGAGUUUGAUUUUUUAUUGGCUUGUGGAAAAUUCAAGUCAAAUGUGUAUCCAAUCUAGUAUGCACAAGAAUUUGAAGGUGUGGCAAUUUGGCACCUCAAGGAAAUUGUUAAGAAGGUGGAGUGGGCUCGGCAAAUUGCUCCAGAAUUGAUAAAGGAGAUAUUGAUAUUCUUGCAAAUGGUGAGUUUCUUUUUAUAAGAGACUGGGUUAGAUCUUUUGGCAUGUAGAUCUCCAAGUUGCCAUAAAGGAGAACAUGUUAUUAUCAGCGGAGUCCACAAGUUUGCACGAAGGCAUUGGCUUGGUAUAAAUGCAAGGUGUGUGUGAUGGAAAAGUUAUAUCAUGGCUGAAGAAUUCUCAGUGAAACCAAGCAUGAGAAUUGCACUAUAAAUUUCAGUAGGAUAUUUUGACAUGUACCAAGAAAAACCUUAGAACGGUUGAUUCUAAGUGGUAUACUCUUUAUGGUGGAGUAUGAUAAUUCUCUAUGUUGAGAAUUAUGACUGUUGGUGAAGACGGUGUUUUGUAGCGAUAGCUACAAAUUUUUUUUUUUAAUCAUGGUGGAGAUUAUUGAAAAUGUGAUUUAAAAAAAAUGUGUCAAAAUGAUGGGUGGCUGAGCCAACCACCAUCAUUGAACAAGGAAAAUGGGUGGGUGCCGCCCAUGCAAAGAAGAAAAAAAGGAAGAAAAGGAAGCCAAAAUUUGGUUAUAAAUAGAAGGGUUCUCCCCCUCAUUUAGGUAUCCAAGUUUUGGUGAGAAAUUGAGAAAGAAACAUAUUUUUAAGCACGUAGUUAUAUUGAAGGAGGAUUUGGUUCCUCAAUAUGGGUAUUACGAGUUUAAUUUGUUAGGGAUAUUUAUAGGAAAUUAGGAAUCAUGUUUUUGGGACUUAGGUGAGAGAAAAGUAUUUAUGAGAAAGUGGUUGUAAAAAUUUUCCACAUAGUGAAUAUUUUUUCUCUAGUUGUCUUUUGACAACAACCGUGGUUUUUCUCCGUAUUUAGAGUUUUCCACGUAAAUCUUGUGUUGUGUGAUUGGUGUAUUCUCCAUUUAAUUUUUAUGUUAAUUUGUUGCUUGACAAAUUGCUUGAAGUGAUCUUGGGAGGAAGCUCAAUUUCCUAAUAAUGACUUGUGAAAUAAACCGCUUCUAUAAUGCGAAUGAAUAAUCUACUUAUUAAAAUAGUAGCUUCGUAUUUGGUAAAGUGUGUUGUUAUGGUUGCUUUGAGUUUGAAAAAAAUAGUACAUGUGUUUGAUAGAUUUUAGUGCGAAUGUGAUGUUUUGUUAUAUAUUGACCGAAAUAAUUAUAAUUUAAAUUUUUUAUUUAUAUAUUAGGAUGCAUGAAAAAUAAGAUUUAAUUGUCUCUUUGUUAAAACAUUAAGGUUAUAAUAGGAACUUAAAAAAGGUGUGGUGUCUUAUUUGAUACCUAUUUAUAAAUAGCAACUGUACAUACUUUGAAAAGUUAUUGUCAAAAAAAAAAAACUUAUGAAAUAGUGGUUUUUAAAAAAUUUAUCUAACACUAUUUAUUAAUAUAAGAGAGCUCUAUAUAUAUUAAAUUCUUUUAGGUAAAUUAAAUUUUGCCCCUUUGAUUUUGAGGUCUGGCUACAUCACCGAUUGAAGCUUGUGAUUUUUUUAUUUACUAGUGCAUGAAAUCUUUAAUUUUGUUAAUAUAUUAGUGGCAUCAAUGAAUUAUUCUCUCUUUCUCUCUAUAUAUAUAUGAGAAAGGUGAUCAGGUCUGCGACUAUAUAUCAAACUCCUAGAUUUUUUUAAUCUUAAUCUUCAAUGAAUUAUUACUAUAAGAGAACUGAUCAAGUGCGUGGCUAUAUAUCAAACUCCGAAAUUUUUGGUGUUGUACGCAGUUAUGAUUAGAGAUGGCAAAAGUCCGGGUCGGGUCCGGGUUUGGGGCUGCCCGGGACCGACCCGGAUGUCAAACGUAGCUACCCGGACCCGCACCGUGCCCGGAAUUUUUCUAUGCGGGCCGGGCACAUGCCCGGCACUAUCCGGGCACGGAUUUUUUUCUGGGUUUUCUCUACCCGGAUUUGAGUGAUGAUGACAGAAUCAGAAAAAUUGUUUCAACUGACCCCAAUGCCCCUUUCAAUCAAUCCCAGGUCCCUUCACUCUCUAACCUCCCCUUUUUAUUGUUAUCAUCACACUAGCUACCUCCCUGUUACCUAUGUAAAAGUAGAUUCCGUUAACUAAUUUAUAUUUGUUAUAUGUUUUUUAUUUGUUAUAUUUUUUUUUUUCAAUUAUGGUAUAUAGAUAUCAGACCUGCGAAGCAGCAUGCAAAAGAACUGGCCAACACUGGCUUGCCCAAGCGGGAAUGGCAUAACAUUUUAGAAUGCUUACAUCACUCACCUCCACAUAACAAAUGUCGAACAUUAUUCAUUAAAAAAAUAAAUUCAACGAAUACCACCUGAAGAGCGCGAUCAAGAGCAUCGGAGCCAACGGGAUGAGGGCCCAGUUCAGUCAACGCUUUGACGUGCUUGAUAGCCUCAAACUCGGAGAAUCCUCUUUUGCCGGCCUGGUCAGCGGUGAGAGGAGGAGGCAUAUGCUCGUACUGAUAGUAGUAAACGCCGUAAGUGGCGUAGACGAAGGCCCCAAACGCAACCGUCCAUGCGAGCCCCGAUCGCUUGGCGCUUCUCACGUCAACUGUCAAUACUGCAUCGCCAUCGGUGAAGGAUGGAUGGUGGCUGUUGGUGGAGAGACGGAGGGAGGAGGUGCCGAUUCUGAGACUUGUUGCGAAUUCGCGAUUUAGGGUUGGUCGGUUGGGUUUGGGGGAAAUUGGGCAAAGGAAAAUGUAAUUUUUGUUUUUAUAUUUUCCUUUCUUUUUUUACUUAAUAAAAAAGCGGGCACGGGUCCGAGUUCCGGGUUCUUGGUGUUGUGACCGGACCCGUGCCCGGAAACAGCCGGGUAUUGAAAAUCAAUGCCCGGAACCGCUUUUUUUAUGCAUCCGGUCCGGGUUUUACCCGGACCGGAUGUGCCGGGUCCGGUCCGGGUCCGGUCCGGGCGGGCUUUUCUGUCAUCUCUAGUUAUGAUCUUAAUCUUUGGCUAAGGGUAUGAUUGGGAUUGCAUUAGCUUGGUAAAUAAUCCAUCCUCAUAUAAAUUCUCCAAUAAUUAACUUUGCAAAUAAUUUGAUGAGAUGUUUGGUAAAAUUGGAUUAUAAGGAAAUCAAUUAUUAAAUAAUUUACUUAACAUGUUUGUCGUAUUAAUCAAAAUAUUGUGUUGUGUGCAAAUUACCAAGAUGGACAAGUUUUCUUAUAUAGUAAUAUAUAAUGAUAAUUAUUACGAUUUAUUUAUAUUAAUAUAUCAAAUAUUAGUGGUGGUGACGCUAUUUGUUUGCCGUUUCAUGGCUGUAAUUAUUUUAGAGGUGUGCGGGAGCAACCGCCAUUUCUCUGUUAUUGACAUCAUACGUUUUGGAGUUUGAUAGCAGAGGUAUUGUCGCAUAAUGAAGACUUUACCUAGAUGCAGACGACGGCGCCGAAGACAUCGCCGGACGCCAGCAAUAAUCUAGUUGUUUCCUUUUCUUUUUUUUGUCUUGUUUAAAUGUAAACAUAAAUAUGUUAUUAGUGUAAGGGUGUAUUCGAAAUUGUAUUGUUAAAAUGAGGAAAAUUUUGGUAUUAUGCUUUACAAAAUCAAAUUCUAUAAAAACCCGAAUUUCCAAAUCUACUUUCUCAUGUUUUUAAUGAUAAAUUAUUUAAAAAUUCUCUUUCUUAAUUGAAAUUAACUUUUCAAGGAGGCAAUAUGGACUUUGCGUCGUAGGUAAGUUAAAGGCCCUUAAUCCCACGAUGUUCAUGAUGAAACCUUUCUAUUCAAAAUAAAUUCUUCAGUUCGAUUUUUGAGGCCGGCGAGAUGGAAUAUUUGCUAAUACAUAAGUUUGGGAAACUCUGGAUUCAAAUCAUUCGGCUAAAUUUUUAAGAUCCAAUUAAGUGUUUUUUAUUAUAACAUAUGUGUGAUUAACAUUUAUUUUUGUAAUUUAAAGCCAACUAAACGAUGCGCUGUAAUUUCCACAAUUGCUACAAAUUUGGGAGUGUCCCAGCCUUCACCUUCCUUGAGAAGCCAUCUUCUUCUUCAAACCUUACUUAUCGUAGGAUACUUCCAGAGAUAUUUACUCCUCAAAUUGCAAUUGAAUUGAUUAUGGUGUUCAUCAUUCUCAAUGGACACAUAAUGGUUUUUUAACGGUUUCGUCGCGUAUUGAAUUUUACAAAGCUGGGAUUUGUAAUUAAAAUUGAACUUUAGAAAGUUGCAAAAGUGUAAUUGAAAUGUACAAGUCAAUUCUAACCACUCAUCUUUCUAAAUACCAUAUGUCGUUAGAUACUUAAUACACCUUGUGUGCUGGAAUGGAGUAGAUUUUUAGCAGAUACGAUUAGUUAAAUAAAAUUGGAUUGAAUCAUAUUUAGUAUUGUCUUUUGUUUGGCAUUUUAGAUUAUGGUAAUUUUAUAUAUUGUAUGAGAAUUGCGAUGCGAAUAUUUCCGCUGCAAAAUAUUUUAAAACCAAUAAUUGGUAUAAGAGCGAUCUCAUAUUAAUAUAUAGAGUUACUGUAUGAAAUCAAACUCUUGUAUUAUGUGUAUAAAAUUGGUGGCACUAAUUUUUAUAUAUUAUUUCAUUACGUGAAUGUAUAUAAUUAUUGAGCAUAUUAAAUGUUGUCUCAAUUCAUGGUUAGUUAUUUUUUUGUAUUAAUUUUAUGGAUUUGUAACAAGAGAGGUGCUCAAUUUUCACCAUGUUUCUCUCUUGAUUAUUUUAAUUCAUUGUUCUUAGAUUCUUUGUAAGCCAUCUAUGGCAUAGGAGUUCUUGUUUAUAUUAAUUUUUAUUAUAUAAUAAUGUAAAGAACCCAAAAAAACAAAGAAAAGUUGAUGGCGGCAAGGAGAAGAAGAAACGACAGCCUCUCUAGAAUUGGCAGCGAACAGCAUGAAGGGACGGAGGGGUUUCUUUUGAAUUUUUUCAUUAGACACCCUAUUGUCUCACUAAUUUAUGUUUUCUGACAAGACUUGAAAUUUUAUUUCAUUUAAGUCCAACACUAUACGUUGGUGGCGGCUGGAAGAAAAAUAAGUGAUUUAGGGCUUUGGGUUUAUACCCCAUGGCACCGUACAAUUUCACUAUUUUACAGUUCAGCCUAAGUAUUUUGGGUUUUGGGCAGAAAAAAUCAAAUUUAUUUAUAUUGGAUCCAAGCCCAUUAUUGACUAUGAAUUGGAAAAUAUAAAUAUAAAUUUGAUAAGCCCAAUUGUUAUUACUUGUCCAGAUUUUUUUAUAUUGGUCCCAAGCCCAUUUAAGGGAUUUCAAAAUUGAGUUAUAUAAAUAAAAAUUUAGUAGAUCAAAAAUAAAAUUUAUUUGGCUCAAAAAAUUUUAAAGAUAAAUUUGGGUUUAUUUUAUUAAACUAAUUGGGUCUGGAUUUUUUAAAAAAAACAGGUAUUUAAAAAAAAUAAGAGCCAAUAGAAAUUUUUUUUUUUGAAAGGUGCCCAAAUUUAAAUUUAAAAAUUGAACCAGGGAUAAAUUUUAAAAGCCUAAAAGCCCUCAAGGCAAUAGUUAUGUACAAGAGCAAGUACAAGGAAGAGAAAAAAGGAAGAUUGAUGUUGCGUUAAAGCCCAAUAGAUAUUAGGCUUGUAGAUUAAGUCUAUUUUUUUCCUUAGGAAAACCAUGAAUAGAGAUUGUUUAAUUGCUUUUAAUUUAUAUGCUAUGUUUGGUUGAUAACAUGCUAUGAUAACAUGUCAUAUAGAAUAUGAAGUGCCACUCUAUGCAUCAUAAUACAUGACAUCUAUAGAUUAUGAAUCUAAAAAUAUAUUGUUUGACAUUUGCAUGUGCUUAAUAAUAUUAGAUUUCAUCUAGAUAAUAUUAUUAUAGGAAGCAUGCAAUUAAAAUACAUGAUAUAAUUUGUAUAUUGGAAAAACUAACUUUAAAAUAUUGAGUAGGAGAGGGAAAAUUCAAGAUAAUUUUUCCCACGGACUCCAUUAGUAGUUCAAUAAUAAAAUUAUAUAUAUACCUCGACUUCAUGAUACGGUGAUGAUCUCUACGAAGGGUAUAUAUAUUAGACAUUUUAUUUGAUGAACUUCUUUACAAAUAAGGUCAAAAUAUUUUUCAAUCUGUUGAUCACCCAAACUGUGGCGGCAUGGUAUGGAAGAUACGUAGAUUGAAACAAUGAUUAUACACUCCACUAAAAUUUGUUAUUAACCUUCCCAAUGAAGCUCUGUUAACAAAUUUAGGCCCAAAAGGAUAACGAUAAUUAUUUAUCAUGUCUCUACAUGAAAGUAAAUAAUCCAAUGGAUAAUUGGGUCUAGUAAGUGUAGACAUGAUUUCCCCAAUGGAUAGCUUGCCAAAGUAGUACUAGAUUAUCGUUACAAUAAAAUAAAAUGCAUUUAUGAUUUUUUUUUGCAUUUUAGAUUAUUUAUUGUGAACAUUAUUUGUUUCAAAGUAUUUAUGCAUGUCUAUUUUGUUUUUUCAGAAAAUGUCUUCCAUAAACUCAUUAUUCAUUAUCCUUGUUAAAAAUGAACUCACUGACGAAAUGUACUUAGAUUGGAAACACAAUCUAUUUAAUAUUCUCACUGUUAAGGGCUGCAAAUAUGUGUUGACUCAGUCAUUCCCUCUAGAACCAACGUUAUACGAUUAUAGAAAUCAGAGGGAGCCUUAUGAGAAAUUGUGCAAAGCUAACCAAAUGGCUAUGCGCUAUAUAUUGGCUUCGAUUUAUGUGGAACUGCGUAACAAACAUCAGAGCAUGGAAACAACCACUGGAAUAAUUGCUAGUCUUCAUCAGAUGUUUGGACAGAAUAUUCAUUUUGCCAGAGAAGCAGCAUUAAAACGUAUUAUGGAUACUAAGAUGGAAGAGGGCAUAAGAGUUCGUGAUCAUGUCCUCAAAAUGAUGGACUAUUUGAAUGAAGUAGAGAUUCAUGAUGUUCAAAUCGAUGCUAAAACAAAGAUUAACAUAGUGAUUGAAUCUUUGCCUGAUACAUUCAAAGAGUUUAAGAUCAGUUAUAUCUUAAACAAUAAAGAUAUGACCUUAGUUAAUUAAUGCACGAACUACAUGCUAUAGAAGAAUUUUAUCAUAGUAGGAAACUUCCUGAAAAAGGAUUCUCUUGAAGGUCUAAGUCGAAAGACAAGAAUAAUCAAGACAGAGUUGGGAUGAGAAAAUUGUCCACUAAAAGAGAUGGCAGGCCAAAAUGCAAGUGUUAUAAAUGUGGACAGAAGGGUCACUGGAAGAAAGAUUGUCAUAAGAUUAUUAAAAUCAAGUAUAUGAAAUCUUUAAUUUUUCUAAUUAGUUCAGAUUUCUAUUGAUUCAUACAAUAGUGAAUUCUGAGAUAACAAAUCUUAUUUAUAAUUCAUUUAUUUGUUUUUCAGGAAACUAAGAGAUUAAGUGAACAAAGCUUCAAAGAGCAGUUGAGGACAUGCUAGUUUAUAUCAGUUGAAAAGAUAGAUCAAUUUUACGAGACUUUAGUUUUGAUAUUUGUCUUUAUUAUUCUAAAUAUUAGAGGAAUUUAAUUUCGGUAGCUUGUUUUAAUAAAUAUGAGUACACUGUUAUUUUUUUAUCCUCUGUUUAUUACUUAUUUUGGUUAUUUAUAAUGACAAUUUAUAUCAUAUAAGUUCAUUGAUCUAUUCAAAGUAAGAUAUAAUGAUAAAGAGUAUAUGCAUUUAUCUAAGAAAAGAAAUGUUUCUUUUAACCAAUAUCACCUCUGAUAUUUAUGCUUAAAUCAUAUAAACUAUAAUAAGAUUUUAAAAAAAUGAUUAAUGAUAGGCUUGUUGGCCUAUUAAGAUUAAUCAUUGUCACUCUAUAAAUCUUAUUUAGAAAAGUAAUAUGACAAGGAUGCUCUUUUUGAGCCAAAAGCAUAAUAUUAUAUUGGAUGACUUAGCGCAUACAAAUGUAUACGGAUUAAUCAGUUUACAUGUUAUAAGAGGUUAUGAGUAUUCUAUGAAUUUUAUUGGUGAAUAUUCAUUUCAUUUAUGUUUGUCUAAAUGCAUUAUGAUUCCAUCGCUUUAGAAAUUCAAAGAGUAUAGGGCUGAGACAGAAAGCAAUUAGAUAAGAACAUAAAGAAACUACGAUCUGAUCGAAGUGGUGAAUUUCUCUCAGGAGAUUUCAGAGAGUAUCUAGUUGAAAAUAGGAUUAUAUCUCAGUUGACUGCCCUGGGAACACCACAACAAAAUGGGGUAGCUAAAAGGAGAAAUAAAACUCUUUUGGAUAUGAUGAGAUAUAUGCUUAGUUAUUCGCCAUUACCAAUCUCUUUUUAGGGAUUAGCUUUGGAAACUGCAGUUUACCUCUUAAACUUAGUUCCAUCUAAGUCAGUGUCUAAAACCCCAAUAAAAUUAUGGUCAGGUCGCAAACCAAGUUUACGACAUGUUUGUAUUUGGAGAUCACCAGCACAUGUGCUGAAACCAAAGACAGAUAAAAUAGAUUCACGUUAUGAGGUUUAUAUGUUUGUGGGGUAUCCUAAAAGAAAGAUGGGAGGUUUAUUUUAUAGUUCUCAAGAUAGGAAAGUGAUCAUGAGCACAUAUUUCACUUCCCACGAGGAAGACUAUAUGGAUAACUUCAAAUCUAAAAGUAAGGUAAUACUUGAAGAACUGUCAGGUGAUCAAGUUGAUGCUCAGAUUUCAACACUUGUUAUAGAAGAUGAUGAACAACAAUAACUAACUGAUCAACACAUGAUUAUCCCUGAACAAUCAUCAAUUUUAGAAUCUCGUCAUAGUAGGAGGGUAACUAGGUUACCUACUAGAUACAUGUUAUUAGGAGAAACAUAUACGGCUAUCUCAGAUAAACAUGUACAAAAUCCCACUAGCUACAACAAAGCUCUAAUAAACAGAGAUGUUGAACUUUAAAAAAAGACCAUGAAUCAAGAAAUGAAAUCUAUGUAUUCCAAUAAAGUCUAGGAACUUGUAGAGGCACCAAAUGAGGUAAAACAUAUAGGGUGUAAGUGGAUAUACAAGAGAAAAAGAUGAGUAAACGGAAGGGUGAAAAUAUUUAAAGUAAGAUUAGUAGUCACAGGGUUUACUCAGAAAGAGGGAAUCGAUUAUGAGAAAACAUUUUCUCUGGUUGUUAUGCUUAAAUCUAUUAGGAUUUUGCUCUCCAUUAUUGCAGUGCUAGAUUAUAAAAUUUGGCAAAUUGAUGUCAAGGAUGCUUUUCUUAACGGGCAUCUUGAAGAAGACAUCUACAUGUAGCAACCAGAUAGAUUCAUACAAAAAGGCCAAUAACACAUGGUAUGUAAGUUGCAGAGAUCCAUUUAUGGAUUGAAGCAAGCAUCCCGGUCAUGGAACAUCAGAUUUGAUCAAGCGAUUAAAUCGUUUGGAUUCAUUCAGAAUAUUGAUGAACCAUAUGUGUACAAGAAAAUUCAGGGAAAAUUUGUAGCCUUCCUAGUUCUUUAUGUAGAUGAUAUUCUCCUUAUUGGAAACGAUAUAGGAGUAUUGACUACAAUAAAGAGUUGGUUAACAAAAUAAUUUGAUAUGAAAAACCUGGGAGAGGCAAGUUAUAUUUUUGGUAUCAAAUUACUACGAGAUUGGAAGAAUAAAACUUUAACCUUGUAUCAUUUGCUUGUAUACUUAGUGGUUUCAAUACAAUAAAUAUUCAAAUUUGACAUAUUGAGAGGAAUACAAUAAAUAUUCCAAAUAUGUUUUUGACAAGUUAUUCCAAAAACAAUAAAUAUUCCAAAAGGAUCUGCCAAAAACAUAUUUGGAACCACAAGAAACAAAAACAUAUUGAGAGGAAGUAUCAUCUUAUAAGGGAUAUAGUGCAAAGAGGUGAUGUGGAAGUUACUCAGAUUGCGUCACAAGAAAACUUGGCAGAUCCUUUUACUAAGGCCAUACCUGGGAAACUUUUUAACUUGCACUAAUAAUCCAUUGGCAUGCGUGAGAUGUCAAAUAUGGUUUGAGAGCUAGUGGGAGAUUGUUGGGAAAAUAUGCUCUUUAAAAACAUAUGUGUUUAUUUAAUUGUAAUAAAUAAUUUUUCUGAUUAAUAUAAUAAAUGAGGUAUUUUAUUCAAGUAUCUUAGUUACAUUAAUAUUUUGAGUAAAGUCCAUUUAAUCAUAUUAUAUGUGUUUACGUGAUCACCAUAUGGAUUUACAGAAGACAUAAAUACAAGUUAUCUUAUGAUUAAAUAAAUUAAGUUUGCAGUUGAUAAAUAAAGUUAGGCACUUUAUUUAGGUAUAGACUGUAAUAAAUUCAUUUAAUGAUUCAUCUUAAUCAUGUAUGAAUUUAUUGAUGUAGUAAGAGUAUAUUGAAUUGGAUCACAUAUGAGAUUUAAUUAACUUUGUAAUAACUGUCAGACUUAUUAAAUCUCAUAAGCAUUGAUUUUACUAUAAUCUUAAUCUUUAGUUAGUUAUAAUUUCAUGAUUGUAAUUAUCAUUCCAUUUGAGUUACCAAUUGACAUGACACACACUUGUAGUCAAGAUUACUCAGUAUCUUGAUAGGAGCAAUUAUAAAUAUUGAAGUUAUAGAUUAACAAUAUAGAAUUUGUACAACACAUCUCUUGAUGAGUUUUCAACACUUGAUCAUAAAAUUCUCUGGCCAGAUUAUGUCAACAUAUUUAGUAUGUUGAACAUGAUCAUUAGAGAAAAUUAGUAAGUAUCAAGGAAUAAAAUGUAAUUAAAUUAAUUAGACAGUUGAGAUAUCGAUUUAAUUAAUAAUGUGGUACAAAAGAUUAUGCAGUAAAGAAAUCAAUGUGGCAUGGGUCGAAUUAUUAUUCGAGAACACUAUCCUAGAUAACAUACAAUUAUGGAGGUCAGUUCGAAUGUUUUAGUGGAGUAGAUUUGGAAUUAAGUAAUUGGGCUAGUUUAAUGACAGACCUAAUUAUUGUAGCCACUAUUGUAUGUACUCAUAUAAUCCCCGAAUUAGCUCAUUUAAUUGACUGAGCCGCAACUGAAUUAAUAAGCAAGAUACAAACUAACUAUUUUGGUUAAAAGCCUAAAUAUAUUAUUUAGUGGGAGGCUCCAUUUAAUAUGCUUGUGUGUAAGGAGUCAUAUGUUAUUUUACAAGAUGGGCCCCUAUAACAAGAGCAAGUAACGCCACUUUUAGUUUUAUUUUUUAAAUUUAAAUCAAAUUUGAUUUAAGAGAAUUAAAAAUAUAUAUAAAUAUGGAGCCUAGGGCUUCCACUAAAUAGAGAUAUAAAGGGACUUGUUUUCACUAAAAGGGGAGAGGAGCCACAAUAUACAGAUCAGAGAAAAAGAGUUUUUCUCUCUAAUUUUGAGAGAAAUAUUUUCUCUUGCUAGUUGCUUUUAGUGGUGAUAAAGGCGUCCACACGUUAAGUGCAUAUCAAACUUGAGUCAUAACCUGGAAGAUCAUUGGUGACGGAUCGUGAUAUAAAAAGAUUGGUGGUGACAGUUCGUGAUCUAAUGGGAGUGGUGGUAACGGAUUGUGAUCUGGGAGCGUAGAUUACUUCAGCAAAAAAGUAAAGGUACGAUUUCUAAAUUAUGGUAAUUUUAUAUAUUGUAUGAGAAUUGCGAUCUAAAUAUUUCCGCUGCAAAAUAUUUUUAAACCAACAAUUAGCAACUUAAUACACUUGGUACGCUGGAAUGGAUUGUAAAUAUAAUAUUAUCAUAAAAUGUAUUUAAAUUUAAUUGUAUCAUUUUCAAGAGAAAGUAUCAUUUUUUUUUAUGCAACUAAGUUAUCUAGAGACAAACCUUCUCUUGUGUUCUCACAACUUUGGGGAAGCUUCAAAGGACACAGCUUGGAUUGUCCAUUAUGCUAAUAUACCUGCCUAUAAAUUGGAGGGUUGACCUCAACUGUGAGUAAAAGAACUGCGAUACUCGUGUUCCUUCCUGUAAUAACGAAAGCGUCUUAAUUAAUUCAGUGUUUCUACUUCAACAAAAUAAAAAUAAACUCUUGAUUGAAAUACAACCAACUUUCAUAAUUUUCAAUUCUAAUUUUCUUAUAAAAAUGACGCCAUGAUUGGAUGGCAUUGUCCUUGUGUUGUGUCAUUGAUUUAUCCAUCUUUGUUUUUCCCAAAAACAAUUUCCAUGAAAGAGGAUGUUUUGCUGCUCGUUAGUAAACGCUAUUUAAGCACAAGAAAUGAUUGAGAUUUAUGCAAAGUAUGUGGCAGAAUUUAUGUAAGAUGACUGAUGAUUCAUAAGGAAAGCUAAACAUGGGAGUUGGUAACUUUUAGCAUGGUGAUCAACAUGUGUUGUAGAAAAUUUUUAGAAUUUUACUAUAAGUGGUACACAUAAAAGUCAGUAAGUCUAACUUGUACUCAAAUAUUAGCUCAUAUCUUAAUAGUCGCCUUAAGCUUAUGUUAUUAAUCAACUAACUAAUCUCAGCCCAUCUGAAAAAUCUUUUCUAUCACCUCCAGUACUUGUAGGUCAAUUUUUUGUCUGGUCUUUGUCAAUAAUUCAAGUGAUGGGUUUUUCUUUGCCAAUAACGCGCAAUAGUUCCUUGUCAUGAGCUUCUAGGGGUGUUCGCGGAUCGGAUUUUACAGAUUGAACAUCAAUCCAUAUCCGAUCUAUAAUUUUAUGGAUUAUAAUUUUUCAAUCCAAUCCAAUCCACAGAUUGAUAAAAUUCAAUCCAAAUCCAAUCCAUACAUCUACGGAUCGGAUGCGGAUUUGACUCAAUCCAUAUCCAAUCCAUACGUUUGCGGAUCGGAUGCGGAUUUGACUCAAUCCAUAUGCAAUCCACCAUUUUGCGCAUUAGUUUUCGAAUUAAAAAUUUUUUAGUUCUCUCCAACUAAUGAAAUUAAAAAAUCUAAUAUAAAAAUAAUUUUGCUACAAAUUAAAUUUAAAAUUGAAUAAAAUUUAAAUAAAUUAAUUGUUUAAAUAAAGCUAAAAUAAUACAUUUAAAGUUUCAAAAUAUAACACAUCGAGACUAAUUAUUCAAAUAAAGCUACAAUAAUAAGUUCAAAGUUUCAAAAUAUAACACACCAAGCUUAAUUGUUCAAAUAAAGUUACAAUAAUACGUUAAUAUAACACCGAAAUUAAUUGUUCAAAUAAAGCCACAAUUAAUUGAAAUGGAGAAGUUUCGGAAACCAAACACAGUUUGAUCCUUCACCAGGGCUGUUGCGCCUGUCGAAAAGUGGUGAUUACGGAGCCAUCCACGAUGGGAACCAGGAGAAGCCGUACGGGUGGCGAUCUUGAAGGUUGUGAUAGUGAAAUUGUUCAGCUGGAACCAGUGAAUGUGAAGUGGCUCGAUGGACUUUGGAAAGAAGAUGGCUUGCUCUCGCCGGAAUCGCGCGGCUGAUGUCCUUUAAAUCCGUAUUGAGAGUGUAUCCAAUCAGUAUUGAGUGUUGCUAGUGUGUGUGACGGCGGGGAAGCUUAGGGUUUUUUGUUUGCAAAUUGUUGGUGACUUGGCGUUAUGUUACUUUGCUUUUGCUAGUGCGUGUCACUUUGCUUUUAUUUUGUUUUACAAUUUUUACAAGUUAUAUUUGUAUAUUUGAUUAUUUAAUUAUUUUUUAUUUUAUAUUAUUAUUGGGUAAUGGCUAAGAUAUGUUAUAGUGCUUAGUAACUAUGCAAUGUCACAUUUAUAAUUUUUUAAAUUAAAUUUAUAAUAAUUUUUUAAUUAUAUAUAUAUAUAAUUUUUUUUUUUUGCGGAUUCACGGAUUUCUGCGGAUUUACAGAAGUAAAUCCAUAUCCAAUCCAUCGACUGCGGAUUUUUAAAUUUUCAAUCCAUAUCCAAUCCAUGGAUCGGAUUUAUAUAGAUCGGAUUCAACGGAUCGGACGGAUUGAGCGGAUCGGAUUGGAUUCUGAACACCCCUAUGAGCUUCUUAUCUUCUGUCUUGAAGGAAGAAAUUGCAAAAGACAAAUGAAACAAUUUCCUUUACACAUUAAUCAGUGCUGCAGCCUUUAUAUCUUUAUUAUUCUCGGAGGUAUGAUAAUGUUGAGAGCCGAAACAAUUACUAGUACUCACUCCUCUUAUGGCCAUGUCUAACUCUCUACAAUAAUUUCGAUAUUCCUGUUCUUCAGUUCUUCCACUAACCAACAAGUACGACGGUAUAUGCGGUGGCUUCAUUGCUAGAGCCUCUGUGGGCAUAUUUUAACAACGUGAAGGCAGAGCUAAUUAGAAUUCACACAAUUUUCCUAAAAGUCUACAGCUUCCAGGAAAUUCACCACCUCUGUAGAAUUGUAAUAAUAAGACUUGUGGUUUCCGUAAAAGAAUUUAUAAGAGUUAAUAUAAAAGAAUUCGAAAAUGAAUUUUAUAUGGACUAGAAAUACUCUUGAUUAAUUGGUUAUUCAAAUGGUUUAGAAAUCCCCUUAAUAUUAGGAAGUCAUUUAAAAUUCUGAUUAUUGUUGUUCUAAAUAUAUUACUUUGCACUAACUUCCAAUUCCACAAUUACUCUGACAGUCCCGUUUUCACGGAUUUAUUUAUGUAUCUGAAUCUUUUUAUUCAUGAAAGAAUAAUCUCUUGCAAACUCAACUUCAAUUAUGAAUCAACUAGCUAGCAACCAUUUCUUUAUUUUUAAUUGCUUUGGAAAUUAAGGAUUCGUCCAGCCGCCAGAUUCCGCAGUGAUUCUAUUGCAUUGGAUGUCUUCAAUUUUCUUUUGCAUUAGAUUCUUUGUUGAACUAUUUAUGCACAAGUGAAGGAGGAAUUAUAGAAUACAUAUGAGAUAAUACAAUCAACUAAUGCAUAUACAACGUGUGUAAUUGAAUUUAGUGUAACCAUCACCUACGUAGAUAUUUUUCAAAAUAAAUGCACACAAGUUAUAGUAUCAUUUGCUUGUUAUAUGACUUACAGUGUAUUCUAGAAUUUUUCCCAAGUGGAGACCAUGAGUGGUAACAUCCAUCUGACAUAAGAGUAUUACAAAGAGAUAAUCACUUGUCAAAUUUGAAUAUUUAUUGUAUUGAAACCACUAAGUAUAUAAGUUUGGACAACCCUAAAUUCAUGAUGAGAAGUUAAAGACAGUAGUACUCUAAAAGAAAAUGGAACGAAAUGAUCCAUUCAUACCUAUUAUUUGACUUUUAGAUUUGCCCUUCUAAAUUUUAACAAAAUGCACACAUGUUCUCUUGACAAAUUUUUAUUUAUUCAUGUGAACGAAGUAUAACAAAAUUAUUGACCAAUCAGAACCAAGAUGGAAAUGAUCAUCAACAAAAGUAAUCUGCAAGGACGAAUAGAAGCAGAUAGAUUAUUCCAAAAAGAAACUAAGUGGAAGUGGAAUUACUGUAGUACUGAUUAUUCGAUGGCGGGAACGUCGUCGAAGAAGGGUAAACUUCUCUGUUUCAGGAUUUCACAAUCCUCAGGACUUGCUGUGUUUGGAUCAAAAAGCUCACGAUCAGGCAGAGGUAAGCCAAGUUUUAUUUGACCCACUCGCCGCGAAUUCAGGACUUGCUUGGUCGUGACAGGUAGCCUAACAGAUUGAUAUUCUUCCAGAGCUGAAUGUAAAUUUUCUUCCCCCAACUUCUCAAGGCAUUUACCUAACACUGCUGCAUCAGCUAUGGCCAUGUUUGUGCUUCUUGCACAGUGAGGGGUUAUGGGAUGAGCCGCAUCUCCAAUAAAGACCACGUUGUCGCAGUAUACUUGUGUCAAAUGGUCGCAAUCAUAAAUAAGGUUCAGGAAAGGCUCCUUUGUUUCUUUUAUGACUCUUGCAAGCUCAGGAACGCAAAUCUCCUCUACUUCUUGGUGCAUCUUCUUGAUCAUGUCACUGCUCACUUUCAUUGUAGCUGAACCUCCCUGAAAUUACUUAAUUAAUUAAUUGAAGCUAGCUCUGCUAACACGUAUGCAUAUAAAUGGUAAAAUGAAGCAAGUUAGGCAAUCACCUUGAGUUCAGGCUCAGGUUGAGUGAUAUACCAAAUCCAAUUGAGCCUCUUGUACAUAAGCUCAUAAAGGACGGUGUGAGUUCCAGGGCCCAAGCCCGCGUGCACGCCAUUCCCAAGCUCAGGAUAUGCCCUUCCGGAUGCCUUGUAUGGUUUCAGAAUUCUCAUUUUCCGAAAAAUCAAAAACACCCCUCCAAGCACAGUAACCUGUAUACCUGAAAAACAGAAAUGAAAAAUAAACCGUAAAUUUCAAGACAACCGAAAAUAUGAAAAUAUAAUAUAAUUUGGUCAGAAACCUGAGUUUAGAGUCUGGUAAAAAAGUCUGGCGAACUGAUGAGCGGCUCCCGUCAGCUGCAACCAGCGAAUCUCCAACUACGUCGAUGAUCUCAUCAGUUCUAAGAUUCUUAGCUUUGACAUUGACGGUUGAUUUGUCGUGAGAAAUGCAGAAAGUGAGGUACAAGUGACCCCAAAAAACUAUUUCGACAGGCAGAGUAUUGUAUAUAAGACCAUGAAGAUCAGUCCAAUGUGCCACUAUAAUGUGUAUAUGCAUACAUUACCUGAUCAAUGGUGAGAGGUAAGGUGAUGUUGUGAAGAAGAUCAGGUUGAUGGAGCCAUGACUUAACUAUUUUCUCGGACAAUGGAUGAAGUGCGAUUCCAGCGCCGGUUGGGUUUCCGGUUUGAGGUCCACGUGUCUUCUCGAUCACCACCACAUCCCAACCUGCUAAAAUAAGCGCUUUUGCGCAUGAUAUCCCUGCUAUGCUUCCCCCAACUAUUAUAGCUUUUGGCUUCCGCAUCCUCUCCCUCAUGUCUCUCUCUUCCUCUCAAACACCAGUAUGUGUGACACAAAGGGACGCUCGCGCAUAGAUAUAUUUAUAGACAGGGGAAAACUUCCCAUUCUGAAUUCAUAAAACAGGAAGAGCCGGCAAUCAUAUGAACAUUUUUUUAUAUUAUUGUCAAAAAAUUUUUAUUCUAUUGUUAAUUUGACUCGGAUUUUAAUAAAAUUUAACAUCUCGAACCAAGUCACUACUCUAGAGAAAAAUUUCAAGAUUAUAUCUGUUGAUUCCGGUAGGGCAGGAGUCUCAUGCAGAAGUUUCUCAUCUAUUUUCUUACCAGAACAAAUUUCUAGUCAAAAUGAGGGUGUGAAAGGAGGAUAAAUAGACGAAAUUUGGCCCACCACUUCAUUCUUCCUAAAUGAAUAGCUUUUUACCCUAUUAAACGAGGAAAAAUGGAUUAGAUUCUCCCUUAAUUUGAUCUGAUUAGUGAUUACUAAAUAAAGACCACACUUUAUUGUAGUGUGUUUCGUCAUUUAAUACAUUGAAGUUUGUAUGUGGCCCUAGUUUAGUUGGGUAUUAGAUCACUUAAUUGGAAAGGGACUUCCUUAAUUAUUUUUCAAAAGCACAUCCUAUAAGACUCCAACAGAUGGAGUCCAAGUUCUAGAAUAGAUGAAUAAAUUAUGUCAAUUAAAUGGCAAUAGCCCACCAAAGAAGACAGAGAAACAAGUUAGGAGAGAUUCCAGAGUAUACCAAAAGUAUUUCAUCUAAUUAAUAUAUAUAUAUAUAUAUAUAUAUAUAUAUAUAUAUAUAUAUGUUAUGUGUGUAUUUAUUUUAAAAAAUUAUUAUGUAAUUAAUAAUUAUAUUUAAUUGAACUAUACUUAUUAUAUAUGUAUUUGUUAUAUGUAGCACCUAUAUUAUACUCUAGAAUUUCUCACAAGAUAAUAUGUCAAUAUACCACAAACACAAAGUUUGAAUCCUGUGAAAUAUGUUUAAAAUUGACUCUUGUAGAAAUUAUUAUGUGGUGGUGAAAUGAUUAUGAUAAAUAAUAUAUUAACACGUGUCAAUAUAUAAUUAUGCUACAUCAAUGAGGGUACCAUUGGUAUCACAUUUUUGUUUUACGUCUUAACUUUUGUAUUGACAAUAUUAGUUUUGUAUUAUAUAUAUAUAUAACUACUAAGUUAUUUUUUGCAAUCAAUAAAUAUCUAAUAACUCAAUACUUCUAUAUUUAUGCUCAUAAAAUUUGUACUUUUUAAAUAAAUAUUAAAAUAUCUUAAAAAUAAUAAAUUAUAUUUUUUAACACUAAUUAAAACAAAUAAUUUUCACAUUUAAUCUUGUUUUAGUUUAUAACAUGGACCAUUCGCUCACCACUUGGCAUAACUUUGUAACCUAGGUCCUGCUUGGAAUCGAAGUAUUAUACCUUUUAAGUUACGACUGCCGUAAAAAAGUUGUAAUUAUAAAACAAAAAAUUAAUAGCUGUGAACUUAAUGAUUGCUUACUAAACUUUAGGCAUUUAUUUAUUUAAUUAAUUGUCUAAAAUUUACUUGUUAAUGUUAUUGACAAUACUUAUAUAUUGAUUAAAAAGAUGAAGUAAGGUAUUGAUCUUAUUGAUCAACAAAAAUAUUUUAUCCUAAAUUGACAUAUUUGUGUAUUUAUUCUAAUGUUAAAACUUUAAUUUCUCAUUUAUGCGGAUAAAAUUUAGAAAUCGGUAUUAUAUGUAGAUUUUUAAGCUCCUAUUAUAAAUUUAUAGUUUGACUUAUAUAAUUUACUUUAUUUUUUGUGUUUUUAAAAGUAUUGUUUUAAUAUUUGUGAAGUAAAAACCCAUUGCAGGUUACACGAGGAUUUAGUAAUUGUUAAAACCUACAGCAGGUGAAUUUUUUUUUAAAUAAAAAACCCAUAGCGAGUUAAGAAUUUACUGAUUUAAUUACUUUUUACAAGUGCAUGUUUGAUAAUGAUAAAAUCACUGCACUGAAAGAAAUUCUAUGAAGAAUAUAAUUCUUGUUUUGUAUUUUUAAUGAAAUUUACAGAAUUAUUUAUACAAAAUAAAGACAAAGUAGCCGUUGAAAGGCUUAAUAAUAUUAAAGGAGAAUAAGUGAAUACUUCCUAAACUAUUGGACAAUAUCUUUAUAACAUAUGAAUGAAAUAUUCCUACAUGAUAUUGACAUUCAUGUGCAAAAAUCGUAGUGGAGAUAUUUCUUGACAAAUAACUUUGACGGGAGCAAGUCGUGUGGACUCCACAACUGUGGAGUGAUAAACCCGUUCUUGACUUGACCGUUAAUGACUUUCCUUUUGGUAAUCUUGGUCAGCUUGCUUAACAAGUGGUACCCAUAACCCAUCCAUACAGCUAGGCUAGCUAAACAGCAUAAAUAAAUGUAUAACGAUUCUUAUAUAAAAAGCCACCACCCCAAGCCAAAAGAAAAAAAAAAUUGUGCUGAAUACAACAAUAAAAUUUCUUCAGUUUUUACUUGGAAACAAGAGAGAUGAAUAUGAAGAAGCAGAAGCCAAAAGCUAUUGUAGUUGGAGGAAGCAUUGCUGGGGAAUCAUGCGCAAAAGCACUUGUUUCAGCAGGCUGGGAUGUUGUUGUGAUUGAGAAAACUCGUGGACCCCCAACCCAAAACCCAACCGGUGCUGGCCUUGGACUCGAUCCAUUGGCUCAGAAAAUUGUUCAGUCAUGGCUCCAUGAACCUGAACUUCUUUACAACAACACUUUAC
rnacentral:lncRNA from 1 species